GAUGAACGCUGGCGGCGUGCCUAAUACAUGCAAGUCGAACGCAGUGGGGACGGGUGAGUAACACGUGGGUAACCUCCCAUCAGAGGGGAUAACACUUGGAAACAGGUGCUAAACCGAUACUGAUGGAUGGACCCGCGGUGCAUUAGCUAGUUGGGGGGGUAACGGCUCACCAAGGCCAAGAUGCAUAGGCGAGCUGAUAGGGUGAUGGGCAACACUGGGACGGAGACACGGCCCAGAGUCCUACAGAAGGAAGCAGUAGGGAAUCUUCGGCAAUGGACGAAAGGCUGACCGAGCAACGCAACGUGAGGGAAGAAGGUUUUCGGAUCGUAAAACUCUGUUGUUAGAGAAGCGGUAUCUAACCAGAAAGCCACGGCUAACUACGUGUCAGCAGCCGCGGUAAUAC
rnacentral:rRNA from 1 species